ACGGGGUGCAGCAGGCGCGAAAACUUCGCAAUGGGGGCAACCCCGACGAGGGAAUUCCAAGUGCCAGCACUUUGUGUUGGCUGUUCUCUUGUCUAAAAAACAAGAGGAGUAAGGGGCGGGUAAGACGGGUGCCAGCCGCCGCGGUAAUACCCGCGCCCCAAGUGGUGGUCGAUAUUAUUGAGCCUAAAACGUCCGUAGCCGGUCUUUUAAAUCCUUGGGUAAAUCGGGCAGCUUAACUGUCCGACUUCCGAGGAGACUGGAAGACUUGGGACCGGGAGAGGUCAGAGGUACUUCUGGGGUAGGGGUAAAAUCCUGUAAUCCUGGAAGGACCACCGGUGGCGAAGGCGUCUGACUAGAACGGAUCCGACGGUGAGGGACGAAGCCCUGGGGCGCAAACGGGAUUAGAUACCCGUGUAGUCC
rnacentral:rRNA from 1 species